rnacentral:rRNA from 1 species
UACGUAGGGUGCAAGCGUUGUCCGGAAUUAUUGGGCGUAAAGAGCUCGUAGGCGGUUUGUUGCGUCGGCUGUGAAAACCCACGGCUCAACCGUGUGGUCUGCAGUCGAUACGGGCAGGCUAGAGUUCGGUAGGGGAGACUGGAAUUCCUGGUGUAGCGGUGAAAUGCGCAGAUAUCAGGAGGAACACCGGUGGCGAAGGCGGGUCUCUGGGCCGAUACUGACGCUGAGGCACGAAAGCGUGGGGAGCAAACAGG